UUAAAAGUAUUUUUAAACAAUUAAAAACAUUCACACAAUCAAUUAAAUCAUGAAAAAUAUUAAUAAUGAUCCAAAAAAUAAUUUUAAUUCAGAAUAUAAAAGAGGAAAUUAUUUGAAUUUUUUUGGUGAAACUCUCAUAUUUUUUGGAUCAAUAUUAAAAUUAAUAUGAAUUAAUGAAAAUCAAAGGAAUAAAAAUAAAAAUCAAAAAAUCAAAAAAACGUGGACCACUUGAUCUC
rnacentral:lncRNA from 1 species